UUGCUACGGCAGCACAUAUACCAAGAUUAGAACAGUACAGAGGAGAUGAGCAUGAUACCUGCACAAGAUAACAAUCAUUUGUGAAAUGCUCCAUAUCAAA
ensembl:snRNA U6 U6 spliceosomal RNA